AAGAGGGCUAUCACAAAUUUUCGAGUUUUAUACGAGUUUUGAUGCGUCAUUAUGCUUUGGAUAUAGUCACAAAAAAAAAACAAAAAUAAGAUUAAGAAAGUUUGAUCAUUUAUCUUGGGGCUGUUUUCAAUAAAUAUUUUAAUUUGUCCACGUACAUCAGUAAAAUCUUUGUCUCUGCAAAGGAUGUUUCAUAAAAUGUUGCUUUUGGGAAUCUUUUGAUGCUUCAGUACUACGAGGAUAUAGCAAUUUAACCAUUUAUAAAAAUGUUCAAGAUACAACUAUAUCUUGUACUUGUGCUUGCUUACACCAAUUUAUUACAAUUCAUACAGUAAUACACCAAAAAUAAUUCUAUAAAACUGAGAGUUACUGACAAUUUUCCGUACAAAACUAUAUUUUUUAUCUAUGAAAGUAUAAUCCAAAUUCAAAUAAAACAUAUUUAAUAAUUAAGGUGGUAUUGUUAUAAAGCUUGAAAAAAAAAUUGGUCUAUUUAAAAGUAAAACAAUAUUUUAAAAUAAUUUUUGUUUGCAAUGCAAAAAUCAAUAUAAAUCUUGUGACGCGCGGUGUUCAACUUUAGUCAGCGCCAAGCGCUUAUCGAGGGAGGACGUAUCGCUCGCUGUUGCGCCGCGCAAACUCGCCGGAGCUCGAAAAAUAUAGCGCAACCUGCGCAACGAACUCGUUUUGAUACUAGUGAGUUUUUAUUUUAUUUAUUAGUUAUAAUGAUCUGAUUGAAAUGUAAUAUACACAAGUAUUAACCCAUGAUAUUCUAAUGCGAAAAUGUUAUAGAUUGGGUUCUCUUUUUUUGAUGUUGGUUAUAUAGAAAUAUGUACGUAAAUGUCAUCGUCGUUAGUUUCGCUGUUGCAUAAUAAUAUUAUUGGAUAUCUUUGAUUCUUGCAGGAUAAUGAAAGCAUAUUUAAUUCAGAUUAUCAGACUCAAUCGGAUACCAGUACAAAUAAUAUGGAAAAUGAAGAUACAAUACAUGGAAGACGAAUUAUAGAUUUUAGUUUUUUUAUAAAUCAAUUACUUAUACCUAAUUGAUAAACAUGGUGAAAAGUUUGGUUGUCGAUUAAAUAAUUUAAAAAUUGUAAACGA
rnacentral:lncRNA from 1 species